rnacentral:lncRNA from 1 species
CUUGUGCAAGCCGGUGGAGAUAAAGUGCUGGACACACUCUGUGAAAGCAACAACAGAGGCAAAGGAGCAAUGCUUGGUGGUAGCGAAGGCACUGGAGACAAGAAAGCGAUUAAGAGUGCUGAAGAGAAAGAAUGAGGAAGCAAUCUUCCUCCUCUAGCAAUUGGGCACCCUAUGCAGGUGCUCCAACAGUUGACCACUCAGUACCAAGUGUUCGCUCUAGCUCUCCACCACCUCCCCCACCUCAUCCAUCAUGCACAUUAUGAGAUUGCCACAUACUUUGACUCCCCUACUAACUCUCUCCGCUUCACCACUGUCGUUGCCCCCAAUUACGUCCUCUCACGUAUGACCUCAUCAUCCUCCAGACAUUUUUGCCCUAAACCAUGUCUCCAUUUAGUAGCGUUGCAUUGCUACUACUGCUCUUGAUCGCUCUAACAAUAGGGAUGGCAAUAGGUUGAGGAUGGAUUGGAUUGAUCAAUAUCUGCAUCUACCUACCAAUUAAAAACCCCACACCCAUACCCUUCCUGUACCUACCUUGGGGGG